CCUGCUUACCUUUCCAGCGUCAGCUGCUUCGACUCAGAAUCUCCCGGCCCCGCGAGACUCUGCGAGGCGGAGGCGCCCCUCUGCCAACCCCCGCAGGCCCACAUGGCGGCCUCGCUAGACCGGGCCGUCAGCCUCCGGGAACGCGUUCUCCCGUCCGCCCGCCCCCAGCUCCGCCGAGGCACAGCGUCCUGCGCCCCGGAGUGCAGCCCUGGGUGCGGACAGGCACUGCGCCUCGUGGGUCCCCCUGCCAAAGGACAUGCCCCCGGGCAGAGUCUGUUGGGUGAAUGAAAGAGUAACGGGAUUUACACUAGAGAAAAACCAGAUGACUGUAAAAGAGGUGAAGAAAUCCUCGGGCAGAACUUGUUAUGGUUUGGAUCUUUAAGAUUCUCCAAAGAGCUCAUGUGUCAGGUAUUUUGAUCACAGCAACAAAAAGCUAACUACCAUGGCUACUAAGGAACCAGAGAAUUCACGGUGGGGAGAGGCCCUGUGGGUAUGAUGUCUGUUGGAGGAGUCCACCUGGUGCUUAGAUUUGGAGCAACUUAUGGUCUUUCGGGAACUAGAAGGAAAUUCUCCUUCAAAGAUUAGCCUGACAGCCCCCUGGGAGACAUUCUGUCCUGAAGGCAUCCUGCAGCUACCUAUCUCCCUGGAACAUCCUGCGGUUAUCAGGAUCA